UACGUAGGUCGCAAGCGUUGUCCGGAUUUACUGGGCGUAAAGAGCGCGCAGGCGGUCGUGCAAGUCGCGUGUGAAAGCCCCCGGCUCAACUGGGGAGGGUCACGCGAUACUGCUCGACUCGAAGGCAGGAGAGGGAAGUGGAAUUCCCGGUGUAGUGGUGAAAUGCGUAGAUAUCGGGAGGAACACCAGUGGCGAAGGCGACUUCCUGGCCUGUUCUUGACGCUGAGGCGCGAAAGCUAGGGUAGCAAACGGG
rnacentral:rRNA from 1 species